AUGCAGAACGGAUUGCUAGCUAACCUGCGAAAUUGCAUUACCGCGGUUGCCUCUGCCGAGCUAGCUGUUGUGUUGUCUUCGUUGCAGGAUUUCAACCACAACGCUGUGGCCGCUGACAGGUACCUCACUCACGGGCUUCCGUUCUCCAGCAAGAACAUCUACCAUCUCCUCAUUGGACAGCCCAACCAUGACAUUAAUGCCCGUCUCAUUCGGGCAACCCGUGUCCCCAUCAAGGCGCAGGUCUUCGGCUGGCUACUCUUCAAGGACUGCCUCAAUUCCAAGGUGACCUCUUCCACAAAACCAUCGUCCCCGACACCAUUUGCAUCAGAUGGGUGGAUUUGCAGCUGA
rnacentral:rRNA from 1 species